rnacentral:rRNA from 1 species
CCUACGGGGGGCAGCAGUAGGGAAUCUUCCACAAUGGGCGAAAGCCUGAUGGAGCAACGCCGCGUGGGUGAAGAAGGUCUUCGGAUCGUAAAACCCUGUUGUUAGAGAAGAAAGAGCGUGAGAGUAACUGUUCACGUUUCGACGGUAUCUAACCAGAAAGCCACGGCUAACUACGUGCCAGCAGCCGCGGUAAUACGUAGGUGGCAAGCGUUAUCCGGAUUGAUUGGGCGUAAAGGGAACGCAGGCGGUCUUUUAAUGCUGAUGUGAAAGCCUUCGGCCUAACCGGAGUAGGGCCUUGGAAACUGGGGGACUUGAGUGCAGAAGAGGAGAGUGGAACUACAUGUGUAGCGGUGAAAUGCGUAGAUAUAUGGAAGAACACCAGUGGCGAAGGCGGCUUUCUGGUCUGUAACUGACGCUGAGGUUCGAAAGCGUGGGUAGCAAACAGGAUUAGAUACCCUAGUAGUC